GUUCUAGGCAACUCUAGCACAUUGAGCAUGUAAAUAGUCUAGAAUUCACUUUACAAUUCCAGCACAUGUAAAUAGCUAGGAAGUGGUAGAAUUCUCUAAAAUCCCUAGAGCUUGGCAAGCCUCCCCUAUAAAUAUGGGAUGGCAUUAGACAUUUGUGAACAAGCAUUGAGCAAGCAACUCAAGCAUUCUUGUAAUCUCUCUUUUGUGCAAUACAAUUUCUCUUAUUCGGCUCCAUUGCUCUCUUCUCUAGUUCGAGAAUCUCAAGGCUUACUUAGCAACAUUCGGCAAAGUUGUCUAAGUGCCGCACGGGUUAGCUGCGCAAAACACUCAUCCCGUGACAAGUGGUAUCAGAGCUAAGGUUUGCACCCACGCAAGUUAGCUCACGAGCAAUGGCCAACCCUUCAAAUCCAAAACAAGAGGGUGUUGUUGGUGUGGAUGUUACACUCGAACCAAGCCGCGGCCAUGAGGGAGAACGCGCCCAAGGCAAGACUCGUGGCAAGUCAAAGGCCCCAUCCAUGGAUGCGUUGGAGCCUCGUGUAACCACUCUUGAAAUCGCAUUGUCCGCCGCUCAAGACAGCCUCAAGGGAUUAGAGGAACGAGUGGACGGUCUCGAGGGAGAAUACGUCGAGUUCACGAUGGCAACAAAAGCCCUCAUCCAAGAGCAAGCAAAUACUCUUCGAGGUGAGUUUCGUUCUUUUCAUGAUGAGUUGCUCAAACUUCGUAGCUUUGUUAAGGAUGAACUACGUGCUGUCCGUGCGGAAGUGGAUGAAGUCUGCUCGGAUUGGGCAUGGCACAAGCGCUCACUCUUCGCUAGUCCAGCUUACGCAAGCACGAGUGAUGUUCGCCGCAUUGACGUGCCAAAGCCCGACACCUACGAUAGCACACGCAAUGCCACAAUCGUGGACAAUUUUCUCUUUGGGCUUGAUCAAUACUACGAUGGCACAUGCACCGCCCGUCGCUCCUACCAAUUGAAUGGUCCAUUGAAGUGUUCGGAUUAUGGUGACACGGGCGGUUCACUGCCUGCGACGUCGCGAGAAGUCCACUGAACCUCAUCAUUUAGAGGAAGGAGAAGUCGUAACAAGGUUUUCGUAGGUGAACCUGCAAAAGGAUCAUUG
rnacentral:ncRNA from 1 species